rnacentral:rRNA from 1 species
UACAGAGGUCUCAAGCGUUGUUCGGAUUCAUUGGGCGUAAAGGGUGCGUAGGCGGCGCGGUAAGUCGGGUGUGAAAUCUUGGAGCUUAACUCCGAAACUGCAUUCGAUACUGCCGUGCUUGAGGACUGGAGAGGAGACUGGAAUUUACGGUGUAGCGGUGAAAUGCGUAGAUAUCAGAAGGAACGCCGGUGGCGAAAGCGACUCUCUGGCUCGUAUCUGACGCUGAAACGCGAAAGCUUGGGUAGCAAACGGG